ACACUGAUGGUGAAACGGUAUCAUGCUUGCCUUCCAUGCACGUCCUGGAGACUACCUAGCAAGCGGCGUGGGUUCGACUCCCGCUCAGUGUA